rnacentral:lncRNA from 1 species
CUGCCUCUGGGGUACCUGUACCUCGUGGCAGUUUCGGAGGAAUCCGUGAGCCACGGGGACUCAGCAAUCUAAGACCUUGGUGCCAGAACUAGUCAUGUUAUUGGGUAAGGUAGGGAUAAAGUGUAUCAGGCUGCUGCAUCCUAUGAUUGAAUAAGUGGCUAACUUACGCAAAAGAGAAGUGAAGGUGGUCUACGAUAACGGUCAGGAUUACUUGAUCAGUAAGUGAUCCUGAACACCUACCUACGGCAUUCAUAACCCCACCGUGUUCCCGAUCGAAGAGAGAUCUUCGAAGGGACAGUCACGGUUACGCACACAGUUGGCAGUUUUAUUAGUUUAUGUUUAAGUUCUCUAAUACCGGAUGUUAACAAAAUAUUCCAAGUUGCCACAUAACCGCGGGCACGGCUUUCCGAAAGAUUAAAUCCUGCAGGGGUGCUCCAACUAGUCCAUCACAAACGAACACAGGCCGCAAAGGCAUCCUCUAUCACGAACCUCGUGAUCUCGUCAGAUUCCUUAGAGGAAAACCUCAACUCUGGGGGAAACCAAAGCUUCACUGGGAUUCCUAUACGCAAGAUAUACCUCUAAGGUAAGACAAGGCUAGCAGGACAUCCCGACGUGUCGACGACCCUGAUAAGAGCCGCGUAUCUUAGUCUCAGGACAUGACGGAUGAGCGACGCGUACAGUGGCCUGAUAGAAAUCUCUCAAGUUUCCCUGAGUUGGCCCCGCACAGUGCUCUAAUUUGGACCAACACUCAUGAGGAGCACUGGCCCGGGUUGUUGAUUAGAAUCCUCGGGGUAGCUAUUCCCUAUGCAGUUUAUUAUUAAGUGAUUAGCAAAUUAACACCAAAGUCGGGUCCUGCCGAACAAGCCUUAGCACUACGCGAUUUAUCAAGGGGGUCCCCAUAACAACCCCGAACGUGUUAGGAGCGAUCAUUAGGGAAUCAAACACCGGUAACCGGUAACUAUGGCGGCAAUAACGGAACAAAGCACCCGGCAAAAGGCUAGGCCUCCCGUCAUUUACCAAGUGUAUAGGUGCAUUAAAUAAAUAACAGAAUUUAAUAUAAUGAUAUCAAGCUCAUGUUAUCACAUGAGUCAAAACACCUGCAACUAGCAAUGCUAACAUUAGUAGCUGAGCAAGCCUACUUAGCCAUACAAGUUUGCUAGGAAUGAGUACGGUGUUUGUGCUCAUGGCAUAUGAAGAGGCAAUUUAAUUUUAGUGGUAGGCAGCGAGCAAUAUGACAUGGAAACGAAACUAACAUAACAAGUCUAGAGAUGGAAUCAAGGUCAUAUCAUCUUGCCUGUGAUAUCCUCAGCUUGGAAUGGUUCUGGAUCGUCCUGCACGUACUCUCCUGACUCCACGUAUUCGUUCUCCGCUCCCGGUGCUACCCAACAUAAGAAUGACAGCCAAUGAACAGCAUCACCACAAGAUGCAACAAUCACAUGAUGCAUGAGAUGAAAGUUGAGCAUGCACCACUAUUUCUAUCACUAGCACAAGCAA